rnacentral:rRNA from 1 species
CCUGAUAUGGAAUGUUUGUACCGCUUGUACAGGAUAGGUAGGAGCCGAAGAGACGUGUGCGCUAGCAUACGAGGAGGCAAUGGUGGGAUACUCCCCUGGCUGUAUGACCAUUCUAACCCGCCACGCUUAGCGCGUGGGGAGACAGUGUCAGGUGGGCAGUUUGACUGGGGCGGUCGCCUCCUAAAGAGUAACGGAGGCGCCCAAAGGUUCCCUCAGAAUG